AUUGAACGCUGGCGGCAGGCCUAACACAUGCAAGUCGAACGAGUAGCGGACGGGUGAGUAAUGUCUGGGAAACUGCCUGAUGGAGGGGGAUAACUACUGGAAACGGUAGCUAAUACCGCCUACCAUCAUAUGUUCCCAGAUGGGAUUAGCUUGUUGGUGGGGUAACGGCUCACCAAGGCGACGAUCCCGAGCUGGUCUGAGAGGAUGACCAGCCACACUGUAACUGGGACAGGGUCCAGACUCCUACGGGAGGCAGCAGUGGGGAAUUUUGCACAAUGGGCGCAAGCCUGAUGCAGCCAUGCGGCGUGACUGAAGAAGGCCUUCGGUUGGUAAAGUACUGUCGGCGGGGAAGCGUUACCCGCAGAAGAAGCACCGGCUAACCCCGUGCCAGCAGCCGCGGUAAUAC
rnacentral:rRNA from 1 species